UCAUCCAGGAACCAAAAAGAGAAGCAGUGCUUACUACCUGGUUUGUAAAGGCUACAAAGUCUGAUAAAGAACUGCUUUUCUCUUGUCUUCCUACUUCAUCCUCAUCACAGAAAAAUAACUUUCAAUUUUACCAUAACGCCACAGAACAAAAAGAUGCCACCAAACAAUACCAAGAAGCAACUUUGCUCCAUUACUACUUCUGACACGUAAUGACAUUUUAAGACUGACACUGUGGUCUUUCAGCUCUACUAGAAAAAUGUGUUAUAACCACCAGAAAUGGAUGCAUCUUCAUCAACAGCCAACCACAAAGAGAAGGAAAGGCAGAAAGACUGAACCUGAAAUAACCACCAUUUUUUCCAAUUUUAUUUUUUUCUUUCUUUUCCAUAUUUUGCUGCUUUGUAAUUGUCUACGUAAGACAAAAAGCUCUAAGAAAUAAAAAAGGCAAGCACAGCAGGAAUCACAUUGCU